CUCUUUGUAAACAGUUCGAAAACCGUCGAUUUACAUGGUAUCACAUGACAUUUAGCAUCAGUAGUUGUGACCGGUUGUAACAUCGUAGUUUUGGCAUAAAAUGGUGUUUACACACAACAUUCAACACCUGACUUUAACAUACUUGUUGAUUCUAUGUAACUAAAAGCGCCUACUUUAUUUUGGAUUUUCGUUGCAUUGUUUUAUAAAUAUUUAUAAUAUGUCCGCUACCGAGAACUUGCGACGAUCUACUCGAAUACAAAUUCGCAUUAAAGAAGGGAAACAUAAAAAAUAUACGGAGUUAGAUGAAGGGAAUGAACCUACCCUCCAGACGCUUAUAACGAAAGAAGAAUUAGAAAAUAUUGAAGUGAUUGCACAAAAACCAGUUGAAUUGUUUUCUAACAAUGAUGUCAGUGGUGCAACAUUAUAUGGAUUCCAAACUCCUAGUAAAAAAAAUGCUAUGUCGGAAAAGGCAAAUUUAUGUCGUACACCAGUUACUUCAAAAAAAGGAAAAGAACUUAUACCAAUAGUUUCUCUUGAAAGGCUAAAUGAGGAUACAAGGGGAUCAUUAAAAACAAAUAAUAAAAAUUCUCAUGCAAAAGCUCCAGUUACUCGAAGAAGAUAUAUGCCUGACCUAACUUCUAGUGAAAGUGAAAGCGUUUCUGAGCCUAGCGAUUUUGUACCAUCUGAUGAGGAUACAGAUGAUGAGAAUAGUGGAAGCCUAAGUUCUGAUAAUAGUAAUGAUGAAAUUAAACCAAAAGGUGCAAAACAGAAAUUUAUGUUUCACUCAAAUUUAUUGAGCACACCGAAAAGAACAUGUAGCAAAAAUAAGCCUGCAGUUAUUCAUAAAGAUUUUCAUAUAAAAAGUGAUGAAUAUUUCGAAACUCAAUCAGAAAAAGUAAUUACAUCUGAUCGAACGUUAGAGCGCCUACAUAAUUCUCGGUUAACAAAGAAAAAGCUAGAAGAGUUAUUAGCAAGUCAAAAUGAUGUAUCUAUGCAACAUAAGAAAAAUAUUUACUCGUUAACUGAAAGCUAUGCUACAUUAUUUCCUAUGUGGUACUUUAUCAUGGAACAAGGGUAUACAGUAUUGCUAUAUGGUUUAGGAUCGAAAAGAUGUUUAAUUAAUAAUUUUCAUAAAGGUAUAUCUUAUCAUCCAUCAUUAAUAGUGAAUGGAUUCUUUCCCAGUCUGACUGUGAAAGAUAUAUUGGAUGGUAUAAUUAAUGAUUUAUUGGAGUUAAGUUGUCCCGCUAAUACGAGCGAAUGUAUAGAUCUUAUAGAAAGAAAAAUGAAGAAAAAUCCGAAAGAUAGGCUGUACCUAUUAAUACAUAACAUAGAUGGUAUAAUGUUACGAUCAAAUAAAGCUCAAGAUAUACUCUCUUGUCUUGCAAGCAUACCAAAUGUUUGUGUCUUGGCGUCAGUCGAUCAUGUCAAUACACCGUUGUUAUGGGAUCACAUAAAACGUUCAAAAUAUAAUUUCUUUUGGUGGGACACAACCACAUUUAUGUCUUACCAAGAAGAAACAUCUUACGAAAGUUCGCUCUUAGUGCAACAAAGUGGUGCACUUGCUUUGUCAUCUCUUCAUAACGUUUUCCUUUCUUUAACUUCGAAUGCUAAAUCAGUCUACAUACUUCUUGCAAAAUAUCAACUUAGCAACAGCAGCAAUGCUAAUUUUACUGGAAUGGCAUUCAAAGAUCUUUAUCGAGCCGCACGCGAAGGAUUUCUUGUAAGUUCAGAUUUAGCAUUGAGAGCACAAUUGACUGAAUUUAUCGAUCACAAAUUAGUGAAGGUAAAACGUAACAUCGAUAGCGUGGAACAUCUUGUAAUUCCUUUAACCAACGGACUUUUGAAACAAUUUCUCGAAGAGCACGAGCCGUGAUAGUUGUAUAUAUUAAGAUAAGGUAAUCUAUGAGUACAUCUGUGGUAGAGCGGUUGUUACUUUCGCACACUUCUUUCGAUGUCCUUUAUUUGAGCUGUGCUCAGGCCCCGUUGCCUGAACAAAACGAGCUAUGUCGACGAGUACUCGUGAAAGCUCGUAAACUACGGAGCCAGCACUUUGCUCGCUUUCAGGCGUGUCGGCGUUGCUGGUUUGCAUUUACCAGGGAACGUAAGUAUCGGAAGAUUCAUCGGUGAAUAUAUUUUUAUACUUCUAAAUCGAGAGCACGGCACGAGUGUACGCGGACGUCCGAGUCGUUCGCCGAUGAAGCGUUUCGGCGGUGUGUUAACGUAUGGCAGCAUAGUUCAUAUAAUUUUGAAGCAGUAUGCCAGAAAACACGCAUUCCCGAGCAGGAGUUUCCUGUAGGAGGGAGCCUUGGGUACCCGGCGGUGAACCAUCGGUUCUAGCACGGACACGAGGUCGCGGCGGGACACGAGUCCCCCCGAAGCGUUGCGCGAGAACGGCCGAACCGUGACGAAAGCGCACGAGGCCGCGACUACGGGGGUGGGGACUCGCUGACGCUCAGUAGCUUCGCUCAGUCGAGCCAGCGCCGUGAUCGGAGUUGGAAUAGUGACUGGGCCGGACUGGUGUCCCGAGCAGGCGUACAAGCUCCCUGCGGUUCUAGUCGUUCUUCAAUCACGCGCGCCACGAAUCAAUUUGCUCGGCUGGCGAGGUCGUGCAUUCGAAUACGGUGUCGCUUCUUCUCCCGUUAACGCUGGUACGCCUCUGCUAUAACCGUUCGAGCACGUUCGUCGAUUCUCGGUUCCGUCGUUGCCGUGUUCGACCGUCGCCCCGUAAUUGACUGUCGCGUACACCUAUUCUUUUCGCGAGGCCGACACGGACCCAACGGGAGUGAAAAUGCGGUAGUGACAGUGUGAUUGCAUCGAAGACAGGGGUAAGAAGGGAAUCCCUUUUGGGUACGGUUUUGUAGGCGCGAGGACGCCACGAGUUUACUCGAGGAGAAUCGAAGUGAACGGGGAAAAAAGAUAUCAGGGAGAGAGGCUCCUCGAAGCCAGGCCCCGGAAGUUAUGACGAGAUCGUGUGUUCGAGGACGAGGAAUAUACGUGCAUGUGUCCAGUGGGAUAUAGUGCCGGCGAUAAAGCAUUCUUUCCAGAUUUGGAUACCUCGCUCUCGACACCUACGGGACCUGGAUUAUCUCAUGUCAGGAUGGCGCUGGCGCGAAGAACGAGUCCUUGUAUCUCGUAAUCUCUAUCGAGCCGAAAUUUUGGAAGUUUGAUAUAUGUACGAAAGAAUGUUUGCGUACCAAAACUUGAUCGCUUAUAAGGAAGACGUACAGGAACGAAAUGUCGCAAUUCGACCGAAAUAUUC